AUACCUUUCUCGGCCUUUUGGCUAAGAUCAAGUGUAGUAUCAGUUUUUAUCACUUUAGUAUUCUAUACAUGAACUUGCACCACAUCACGGGCUUGGCGCACCGCACUAAAACCAAGUUUAAAAAAUUUAUAACCUUUUCUACUAAGUUAUCAAUAAAGAUUUAUUCUUUAAUAAUUUAAUAAUUUGCUGUUGUUUUCUUACUUCUUACAUGCAUUAAUUUAACUAAG
rnacentral:snRNA from 1 species